GUCAGACUUCCCACACCACACUGUGUUCCUCAUGCAUGGAUGUGACAGUCCUUGUUUGUGCUUCCCAGCGAGCUGUGCUGGAUCUCACCUGUCCUUCGAGACCACCUCAGGGAUCAUCUGGUUAAACUGGCGAGUACUGCCCUUCCCACAGGCAAGAGGUGCGUGUACAGCAGUGACAGUGAAGCAGUAACCCAGUGCUUACCAGCAGCAGGAGGACUGUGCACACUGACAGGAAAGAUCCUGGUGUGGGAUGUGAGGGUUGCACAGACCAGUGACCUGACACCAUGAGACAGAGGCAGUUUGCAGAGGAGGCCUGUGCAUCUCCAGGAUGAGCCAGCAGAACAGCAUAAACAAGGUACAGACACACAGGACCUGCUCUAAAACCCACAGAGGUGCUGUCUCCUCUCGCUGUCUUUGAGAGGAUUUCACUCAGGUCCGCCAGGCAAAAGGCAUCAGAGCUCAUUUCCCCUUUCCCAUCAGCCCUUCCACAUUUCCUUCGCCUCAAGCUUCUGUGGGGUGAGCCAGUAAAUGCUGAGGGAGCAGGAGCAGAGCAUUCACGUUCUGCAGAGCUGCUGUUCCCAUAACUCCAUCCUUUAGCACCAACGCUGCCUCAGUGGCUCUGAACUCGCCAGGAGGCUGGCACAGAACCAGCAGCCAAGCCCAGCAUCAGACACACCACAGAAUGCACGACUAAAGGGGUUUUCUUGCUCUAAAACCUUCUGGCAGAGUGAGAUGGGUGGUGGUGGUGGUGGACAUUGUCCUUCAGUGCAUUGCAAACUACGGACUGCACAGCAAACACAACUUUCCUCCGCUCCCUCCCACCCACAUUUUACCACCUAAGCUCUGAUGGAGGUGCUUGCAGGAUGUGUCAGCCCUGUGCUCAUGGAUUGCCUGUAUUUCCCCUUUAAAAUAUUAUUUUCAUUUUCCAGGUGCUGCUGGCUGCCUGCCUGUGUACAGUACAUCCAAGUUUGUUUUUCCAGCAGCCACCACUGCUGUGGGAGCUCUCUCAGAGGCUGAGAUUCCCAAAUGCAGGAAGAGUGAACACAUAAGCUCAGGCAAUAUUUAUAGGAGUUUCAGCUAGAAACGGGAGUGCCAAACGUAACUAUUUUGUUUUCAUGUUUUACUUUUGUAUUGCUCAGUCAAAACAAGUUAAUUUUAAAUGGAAUGUUUAGAUUUUGGAGAAAAAAAACAAACAAACAAACCAAAAAACAGAGUAGCUCUUUGUGAGGAGUUAUUUUUAGUUUCACCAACCCAAAACAACUGACAGAGGAGAGUUCUGAUUUCUGCUGUCUAUAAACCCUUUAGGUUUAGACCUUGCAGUGUUAUUUAUUACCAAAUAAACUUUUGUAUUGCUUUUUAAACCUCUCUAGUCAAGGAUUUACUCCUGGAUGAGCACUCACAAUCACCCCAUAAUACAGCACAGCAGAAGCCAGUGCAGACAGAACCACGUUGCUGAAGCAUGAAAUCCCACCCAGCAGCACGGAAAAGGCUCCUGCUAGGCAGAAGUCCCACUGGAUUUUGGAAUGGAGACUGCUCCUGAAUUGCCAUUCUGUGAGAGAGA